rnacentral:rRNA from 1 species
GAUGAACGCUGGCGGCGUGCUUAAUACAUGCAAGUCGAACGAAGACAGUAGCAAUAUUGUCUGAGUGGCGAACGGGUGAGUAACGCGUUGGUGACCUGCCCCGAAGAGAGGGAUAACAGUCCGAAAGGAUUGCUAAUACCCCAUGUGGUCGUUUGGAUUAGAUGCCUUAUGACUAAACGGAUUUAUUCGCUUCGGGAGGGGCCUGCGUCCCAUCAGCUAGUUGGUAAGGUAAUGGCUUACCAAGGCGAUGACGGGUAGGGGACCUGAGAGGGUGGCCCCCCACAAUGGAACUGAAACACGGUCCAUACACCUACGGGUGGCAGCAGUAGGGAAUAUUGGUUAAUCUGGGAAACCGGGAACCAGCAACGCCGCGUGCACGAUGAAGGCCUUCGGGUUGUAAAGUGCUUUUUGAAAGGAUGAGGAAGGACAGUACUUUCAGAAUAAGCUUCGGCUAACUACGUGCCAGCAGCAGCCGCCGUAA